GAGUUUGAUCCUGGCUCAGAAUGAACGCUGGCGGCAGGCCUAACACAUGCAAGUCGAACGGAGUUAUAUUGUAGCUUGCUAUGGUAUAACUUAGUGGCAGACGGGUGAGUAAUGUAUAGGAAUCUACCUAGUAGUACGGAAUAAUUGUUGGAAACGGCAACUAAUACCGUAUACGCCCUACGGGGGAAAAAUUUAUUGCUAUUAGAUGAGUCUAUAUUAGAUUAGCUAGUUGGUGGAGUAAUAGCCUACCAAGGCAAUGAUCUAUAGCUGAUCUGAGAGGAUGAUCAGCCACACUGGAACUGAGAUACGGUCCAGACUCCUACGGGAGGCAGCAGUGGGGAAUAUUGGACAAUGGGCGAAAGCCUGAUCCAGCCAUGCCGCAUGAGUGAAGAAGGCCUUUGGCUUGUAAAGCUCUUUUAGUGAGGAAGAUAAUGACGGUACUCACAGAAAAAGUCCUGGCUAACUCCAUGCCAGCAGCCGCGGUAAUACGGAGAGGGCUAGCGUUAUUCGGAAUUAUUGGGCGUAAAGGGCGCGUAGGCGGAUUACUAAGUUAAAAGUGAAAUCCCCCAGGCUCAACCUUGGAAUUGCUUCUAAAACUGCCAAUCUAGAGAUUGAAAGAGGAUAGAGGAAUUCCUAGUGGGGAGGCGAAAUUCGUU
rnacentral:rRNA from 1 species